AGAGUUUGAUCCUGGCUCAGAAUGAACGCUAGCCAUAUGCUUAACACAUGCAAGUUGAAUGGAUCUGUGAAUCCAUGGCGAACGGGUGAGUAAUGUCUGGGUACUGCCUUACAGUUAGGGAUAAUUUAAUCUUACGUAAGUAAGUGAGAUUCCAUUUGGAGCCAUAAAAAUACCUAAUAUGAAAAAGAUGUAUAUCGCUGUAAGAUGAACCCAGGCAGGAUUAGGUAGUUGGUGGGGUAACAGCCUACCAAGCCGACGAUCCUUAGUUGAUCUGGGAGGAUGAUCAACCACAAUGGGACUGAAACAAGGCCCAUCCUUCAGUCGAAGGCAGCAGUGAGGAAUCUUGGACAAUGGGCGAAAGCCUGAUCCAGCAAUAUGGCGUGAAUGAAGUUUAAAUGUGAUGUGAUUUUUUAUGACACAUCAUGAUAUAAACCUUGGUAGACAGACCAUAAAAUUCUUUCAUCAAGGAAGAUAAUGACCGUACUUGAAGAAGAAGUCCCGGCCAACCUCGUGCCAGCAGCCGCGGUAAU
rnacentral:rRNA from 1 species